rnacentral:rRNA from 1 species
UGGGGAAUAUUGCACAAUGGGGGAAACCCUGAUGCAGCGACGCCGCGUGGGGGAUGACGGCCUUCGGGUUGUAAACCUCUUUCAGUAGGGAAGAAGCCUUUGGGUGACGGUACCUGCAGAAGAAGUACCGGCUAACUACGUGCCAGCAGCCGCGGUAAUACGUAGGGUACAAGCGUUGUCCGGAAUUAUUGGGCGUAAAGAGCUCGUAGGUGGUCUGUCACGUCUGCUGUGGAAACGCAAGGCUCAACCUUGCGCGUGCAGUGGGUACGGGCGGACUAGAGUGCAGUAGGGGAGUCUGGAAUUCCUGGUGUAGCGGUGAAAUGCGCAGAUAUCAGGAGGAACACCGGUGGCGAAGGCGGGACUCUGGGCUGUAACUGACGCUGAGGAGCGAAAGCAUGGGGAGCGAACA